rnacentral:rRNA from 1 species
AAAGUCGUAACAAGGUCUCCGUUGGUGAACCAGCGGAGGGAUCAUUACCGAGUUUACAACUCCCAAACCCCUGUGAACAUACCUUAUGUUGCCUCGGCGGAUCAGCCCGCGCCCCGUAAAAAGGGACGGCCCGCCGCAGGAACCUUAAACUCUGUUUUUAGUGGAACUUCUGAGUAUAAAAAACAAAUAAAUCAAAACUUUCAACAACGGAUCUCUUGGUUCUGGCAUCGAUGAAGAACGCAGCAAAAUGCGAUAAGUAAUGUGAAUUGCAGAAUUCAGUGAAUCAUCGAAUCUUUGAACGCACAUUGCGCCCGCCAGUAUUCUGGCGGGCAUGCCUGUUCGAGCGUCAUUUCAACCCUCAAGCCCAGCUUGGUGUUGGGAGCUGCAGUCCUGCUGCACUCCCCAAAUACAUUGGCGGUCACGUCGAGCUUCCAUAGCGUAGUAAUUUACAUAUCGUUACUGGUAAUCGUCGCGGCCACGCCGUUAAACCCCAACUUCUGAAUGUUGACCUCGGAUCAGGUAGGAAUACCCGCUGAACUUAAGCAUAUCAAUAAGCC